GUCCCCAUCGUCUAGCCGGCCUAGGACACCGCCCUUUCACGGCGAUAACAGGGGUUCGAAUCCCCUUGGGGACG
rnacentral:tRNA from 1 species